ACUUGUAAAUGCAUUGGCUGCGUUGUAUGGAAAAUGUCAUAAUCGUACAAUCGAGCCAACAAAAGAGAUAUUAGUAACAGUGGGGGCCUAUGGCUCACUGUUCAACACCAUCAUGGGAUUAGUCAACCCAGGCGAUGAGGUUAUCAUCAUUGAGCCAUUCUUUGAUUGCUAUCAACCAAUGGUGUUAUUGGCUGGUGCAGUGCCAAAGUAUAUUCCUCUGAAACCA